GACGAACGCUGGCGGCGUGCCUAAUACAUGCAAGUCGAACGCAGUGGGGACGGGUGAGUAACACGUGGGUAACCUCCCAUCAGAGGGGAUAACCCUUGGAAACAGGUGCUAAACCGAUACUGAUGGAUGGACCCGCGGUGCAUUAGCCAGUUGGUGAGGUAACGGCUCACCAGGGCGACGAUGCAUAGCCGACCUGAGAGGGUGAUCAGCCACACUGGAACGGAGAAACGGACCAGACUCCUACGGGAGGCAGCAGUAGGGAAUCUUGCGCAAUGGACGCAAGCCUGACAGAGCAACGCCGCGUGAGUGAAGAAGGUUUUCGGAUCGUAAAGCUCUGUUGGUGGAGAAGCGGUAUCUAACCAGAAAGCCCCGGCUAACUCCGUGCCAGCAGCCGCGGUAAUAC
rnacentral:rRNA from 1 species